CCUAAGGUAGCGAAAUUCCUUGUCGGGUAAGUUCCGACCCGCACGAAUGGUGUAACGAUCUGGGCACUGUCUCAACUACCCACCCGGCGAAAUUGUAGUACCGGUGAAGAUGCCGGUUACCUGCGGCAAGACGGAAAGACCCCAUGGAGCUUUACUGUAGCCUGAUAUUGGGUUUCGGAAAUCUAUGUACAGGAUAGGCGGGAGACUGGGAAACAUGAGCGUCAGCUUGUGUGGAGUCGAUGUUGGGAUACCGCCCUUAGGUUUCUGGAAUUCUAACCUGCGGCCGUGAAACCGGUCGGGGGACAUUGUCAGGUGGGCAGUUUGACUGGGGCGGUCGCCUCCGAAAAGGUAACGGAGGCGCUCAAAGGUUAGCUCAGCACGGACGGAAACCGUGCCUCUGAGUGUAAACGCAAAAGCUAGCCUAACUGCGAGGGUGACGGCCCGAGCAGUAACGAAAGUUGGAGUUAGUGAUCCGGCGGUAUGUGAAUGGAAAUGCCGUCGCUCAACGGAUAAAAGCUACCCUGGGGAUAACAGGCUGAUCUCCCCCAAGAGUCCACAUCGACGGGGAGGUUUGGCACCUCGAUGUCGGCUCAUCACAUCCUGGGGCUGUAUUCGGUCCCAAGGGUUCGGCUGUUCGCCGAUUAAAGUGGUACGCGAGCUGGGUUCAGAACGUCGCGAGACAGUUCGGUCCCUAUCUGUCGUGGGCGCAGGAUAUUUGAGGAGCUCUGUCCUUAGUACGAGAGGACCGGGAUGGACGUACCUCUGGUGCACCAGUUGUCAUGCCAAUGGCACGGCUGGGCAGUUAUGUACGGAACGGAUAAACGCUGAAAGCAUCUAAGCGUGAAGCCGACUCCAAGAUUAGAUAUCCCAUCGUAUAACGAGUAAGACCCCUUGAAGACUACGAGGUUGAUAGGCUGCGUGUGUAAGUGCCGUGAGGCAUUCAGCUUGGCAGUACUAAUAGGUCGAGGGCUUGACCAC
rnacentral:rRNA from 1 species